rnacentral:tRNA from 1 species
UUCGUGGUGUAGUGGUCAGCACGCUGGGCGCGUAUUCCAGAGGUCCGUGGUUCGAGUCCCGGCGAA